rnacentral:misc_RNA from 1 species
ACAAACUUGGUCAUUUAGAGGAAGUAAAAGUCGUAACAAGGUUUCCGUAGGUGAACCUGCGGAAGGAUCAUUACUGAACCGUCGACACGAGUUGUUGCUGGCCCCUCUGAUGGGGGGGAGCAUGUGCACGCUCUGUUUACACAUCCAUUCACACCUGUGCACCCUCUGUAGUUCCGUGGUCUGAGGGACUUUGUCCCUCUGCCGUGGUUCUAUGUUUUUACACACACCCUGUAGUAAAGUCUUAAGGAACGUGUGCCGCGUUUAACGCAAUGAAAUACAACUUUCAGCAACGGAUCUCUUGGCUCUCGCAUCGAUGAAGAACGCAGC